AAUUGGGUUUACUUCUAUUAAACAAGCAAAAUCACUGUAAAACAAUCGUUGUACUCUAAAAGCUUAAGUUGUUAGAGAAUGGUGUUUAAAUAUUUUUAUAUUUAAUACUUCCUCACGUAUGGGCUCGAGACUUUUUACUUUUUUUAGUCGACCCAUAACGUGAGUUUGAAUUAAAUGAGAGGAAAUUAAUAUGCUAGAAGUCUAACGUGACUCGAACUCAGGAUUUUCUGCUCUGAUACCAUAUGAAACAAUCGUUGUACUCUAAAAACUUAAACUGUUAGAGAACGGUGUUUAAAUAUUUUUAUAUUUAACAAGCACUUGCAUAAUUCUUUGGAUCAAAUUGAAUAUCGCCAAUUCGAUCCCCAC
rnacentral:lncRNA from 1 species